AAGUGCGAGGUGUCGGUAACUCUGGACUGGCACCCUGGUGGGGCCCAAGCCGGGCGUGGCGCCCGGGGGUGGAGCCUGCGUCGCCCGGAGCCCUAGGACUACUGCCCGGGAAGGAUCUCCCGACACCGACAGUGGGCGGACCUGCCUCUACUGGGACCUUGCAACCCUGAGUCUGUAAAGUCUGAAGAACAAGGAGCUCAAGCAAGAGACACAAGACGCCAUGUGCACAGAGAGAUGUUCUAAAGGAUGCAGAGCUAAAAACACCAUUUCACCAGCUCUGAGUACACAAGACAGAGCCACUGUUUGUCA